rnacentral:tRNA from 1 species
GGAUCAGUAGUCCAGCCAGGUCAAGGCAGUCGGUUGCAAUCCGAAUGAUCGAAGGUUCAAAUCCUUCCUGAUCCU